UUAGCUUCUUAACAAAAUUAAAUUGUUUCAAGUGCAUAUUAGUUAAUCUUGAUUGGUAUUUUAUUUUAUUACACUGAAAAAGUUUGUUUACUAACAUAGGUUAAUCUGAACUCUAUAACAAUUAUCUGACUGCCAAAUUAUGUAAAUUUGAAAAAUUGUAUGUUACAAAUUUCAAAAUUAUAAGUAAUUUUGAUCACUUAGAUUUUAAAUCUUGUAUGGUGCCUUUUAAAUCGUAAAAAAAUAUUUUAGCUCUCAUUACCAAACUUUAAAAUCACAAGAAAGACAGUUGAAAAUGUGGCUUUUUUUAUUUAUAUUUAUUUUUAUACGUAAAAAAAUUAUUAACAUACAUGAGUCUAAAAUAUUAAACAUUGUAAAAGUUUUAUGCAUAAAUCGCUUUUAGGGAAGAGUUUUGUAACAUUUUCUGUUUCUAAGUGUCAGCAAUUUCGAAAAUAUUUCCCUAAAGAUAAUUUUUAUAAAUCUAAAAUUUCAAUUAAAGUUUUUCUAGACUGUAGAGCUGUGUUUCUCAAUGGGGGCGUUGAGAGUAUGGUGAGGGGCGGUGAACUUGUUUUGGGCGGUAGGGGGGCGUUGGCUAUGUUUUGGGUGGUAGGGGGGCGAUAGCAUGUUUUGUCAUUCAAAUUUAAUUUUAAAACUUAUAAAUAAAAUUAUUAAAUUAAAUUUAUUUAAUAAAUAAAAUUAAUCUAAAAUUAAUAUUAAAGAAAAAAGAUUAAAUUAAUAUAAUAAAUUAAGAUUAUCCGAUACACCUUUUGUACCACCAAUAAAACGAACUUAUACACCUAUUCUCCGAUCCGAACCAACACAGCGCAGCGCUUGAGUCAGUAGUUUUUUGCCUCUGAUUCAUUCAAACUAUUUCGCGAAUGGCUCUGACUCAUUAAAGCCAUUUGGCGGAAAUUGAAGUGCAUGAGCUUUCGGUAUGAAUGUUUGAAUUGACUCGCGUUUCUUAUGAUUUACGUCACCUUCCUUUCAGUUUUUUCUCCAGCUCCGGUUCGAUCUCAUUGUUUAUUUGGCCAGAUAUAUGCAAGGAUUAGUUCUUUACCAUAAAUUAUUUAUUAAUUUGGAGAAAAAGUUGAUUUUCCUUCAUCGUUUGUAUUUUGCUGCCACCAACAAUGUCGGUUAACAAAAAGAAGUGUCAUCAAUACCAUGCCACGUACUCGAAGUUUGGAUUUGUUCAAUUGCUGUUGAACUCUCAACAGCCCAUGUGUUUACUUUUUAACGAAGUUUUAUCUAAUGAGACAAAGAAAUCUUUCCGUUAGCAGGAGCAUUUGCAAAAAACUCAUCCUAACAAACAAAAUAAAGAUUUGUAGUUUUUCACGAACAUCAAAAACAAGUUUCUGAAGGCACCAUCUGUCUCAGGAUUGCUAGCAACCUCAUCACGAAAAUGUGAUGAUGGUUUAAGAGCUUCUUAUAAUUAGGGCCCUAUAAGUUAUGCGAAUAUGCGGAAACCCGCAUGAUUCAGAAUUAUCCGCAUAAUUUACAAUUUUCCGCGUAAUCGCAGCAUAUCUGUAUAAUUUUUAUUUUUCAGCAAAAUGUAUUCGUUUACCAGAUAAAUUUCUCCUUAAGGGUUUUUUUUUCAAUUGAAAUAUAUCUUCUUUUUCAAUUCCAAGAAUCUUUUUGGUCAGGUGUACGUUUGCAAAGACUUUCAGUUCAUUGCAGAACACGCUCAGAUAUUAAUGGAUACUCUUCUCUUUUUCGAAACAUGUGGUGUAUCUAUUCACAAAGCUUACAAUAAGAUUUUUGAUCUGCGGUCUAAACUUCGAUGUAAUUCUCAGGCAUCAUACUCACGAAAAGAUUCACGCAACGUAUUUCUUCAAGAAGUGUUUCACAAAACAAUUGCAAAGUUGAAUACUUACUACUCUCCAGAACUAGACGUAUU